CAAUAGCGUAUAUUAAAGUUGUUGCAGUUAAAAAGCUCGUAGUCGGAUUUUGGCAUCACGCCGAACUGUCUGCCGAUUGGUAAGUACGGUUUGGCGGGUGCUUCCUUCCGGAGGCUCGUUCCCUUCUUCAUUGAAGGGUUCGUUGGUUCCGGGUCUUUUACUUUGAGAAAAUUAGAGUGUUCAAAGCAGGCCUAUGCUCUGAAUAGGUUAGCAUGGAAUAAUAGAAUAGGACUUUGGUUCUAUUUUGUUGGUUUCUAGGACCGAAGUAAUGAUUAAUAGGGACAAUUGGGGGCAUUCGUAUCAACACGUUAGAGGUGAAAUUCUUGGAUCGUGUUGCGACGAACUACUGCGAAAGCAUUUGCCAAGGAUGUUUUCAUUGAUCAAGAACGAAAGUAAGGGGAUCGAAGACGAUUAGAUACCAU
rnacentral:rRNA from 1 species